ACUCAAAUGAAUUGACGGGGGCCCGCACAAGCGGUGGAGCAUGGGGUUUAAUUCGUCACUAACCGAAGAACCUUACCCAGGCUUGACAUCCCCGGAUCGCCGGUGAAAGCCGGUUUCCCCGCAAGGGGCCGGGAGACAGGUGUUGCAUGGCUGUCGUCAGCUCGUGUCGUGAGAUGUUGGGUUAAGUCCCGCAACGAGCGCAACCCUCACUGCCUGUUGCCAGCGUGAAAGCGCGCACUCAGGCGGAACUGCCGGGGUAACCCGGAGGAAGGCGGGGAUGACGUCAAGUCGGCAUGGCCCUUAUGCCUGGGGCUACACCCAUGCUACAAUGGAUCGGACAGAGGGCAGCAAAACCGCGAGGUGGAGCGAAUCCCAAAAACCGGUCCUCAGUUGGGAUUGGAGUCUGCAACUCGACUCCAUGAACGUGGAAUCGCUAGUAACCGCCGGUCAGCCAAACGGCGGUGAAUCCGUUCCCGGGCCUUGUACACACCGCCCGU
rnacentral:rRNA from 1 species